UGCCAGUCCAGCUGACUGGUCAGCUCAGGCCUCGUCACACUCAGAAGUCAUGUGACACUCAGGACCUUGACCCAUGCAAGCACAACUGAAUCCCAGCAGGCCCUACCUGCAAGACCCUCUAGCCGCUCAGGCUGCAGAGCUGUUGUGCCCAGAUUCAGGCCACGGACAGUAGGAAUCGCGGCCAGUCAGCUCAAAGGCAGGGUCAGCGGUGGAAUGGGGGCGUGUCGGGGUGCGCUUCGAAUAGGCCACCUGCUCACUUCUUGGAAGCGUAAAAGGAGCCUGAAUUCUAACCCUGGGAAGAUGGUCUCUGGCGCAUCUCACCAUCGUCUCGGCCUGCCGGCUUCCCUUGCCCCAGCACGUCUCUGCUCGGCGUGUCCUGGGGCAAGCAAUGCAAGCUUGGACUCUGCAGCAGAGCCGCCCUCUCGAGCCGAGGCACCUUCCUGCCAUGUCCCUGCUUUUUUUCUUUUUUUCCUUUAUUUUUACCUUUUCGUUAAUGGAGGUGCUGGAGAUUGAACCCAGGACCUCAUGCAUGCCAAGCGCACGCUCUAGUGCUGAGCUCUACCCUCCCCACCCUCCUCCUCCUCCUUUUUUUUUUUUUUUUUUUAAUUUGAAGUAUAGUUGAUUUAUAAUGUUGUGUUAGUGUCUGGUGUACAGCACAGUGAUUCAGUUAUUUGUAUAUAGAUUCUUUCUCAUAGUCUUCAUUAUUUUAGGUGAUUCCAAGGUGUUGAAUGUAGUUCCCUGUGCAACGCAGUGGGACCUUGUUCUUUUUCAUUUUCCUUUAUUUAGUUUCUCUUCCCCGUGAACUGUGCUCAGAGACCUUGCUUCACACUCCGUGUCAGUGACGUGCGAUCCCAGCUGCAGACGAGGUGACUGACGCUGGCUGAAACCAUGGGAGUUCAUUGCUCCCAUGAUGGCGAGCAAGGGAUGACACCACAGCUGCCACCAGGGCCGUCAGAGACCCAGGACCUUCCCCCCCGCGCACCCUGCUCCUGCCUCUUCACGUGGUCCAGCUGCCCUGCCUGUGAUGGUGGCUGUGGGGCUUCUUCAAGCCAGUGAAGCCUGGGGAGUUCAUGUCCCUCCCGGGCUUGGGUGGUGAGUCUCCUUUUCGCCUUCAUCUGACUUUCUUCUUGUUCCUCCAUUUUGCCAGAUGAUGUGAGGGUGACUUAAACUACAACACGCUGGGCCCCGAAGGUAGAAGCAACCCAGGGGGUGCGGGUCUAGCUCUGUGGUAGAGUGCGUGCUUAGCAUGCAUGAGGUCCUGGGUUCAAUCCCCAGUCCCUCCUCCUAAAAAAAAAAAAUAAACAAACCUAAUUAUCUCCUCCACCACCACCAAAAAAAAAAAAAAAAGGAAGCAGUCUGGGUUCUGGACUCGCUACUUACAGCGGAGCCACCGGGCCCAUUGCAGUGGGAUGCGAACACGUGGGCUCCCAGGACUUAGUGGUCUCUGCCGCCCGGCCUAGCCCGCCCUGUCAAGUUCAGUCUCUAGCUUAGCUUUUCUUUUAAGUAUGAAAAAUUAAUCAAUAAACUAAUUCUGGCACCUUUAAAA